CCUACGGGAGUCAGCAGUGGGGAAUAUUGCACAAUGGGGGAAACCCUGAUGCAGCGACGCCGCGUGAGUGAAGAAGUAUCUCGGUACGUAAAGCUCUAUCAGCCGGGAAGAAAAUGACGGUACCUGACUAAGAAGCCCCGGCUAACUACGGGCCAGCAGCCGCGGUAAUACGAAGGGGGCAAGCGUUAUCCGGAGUUACUGGGUGUAAAGGGAGCGUAGACGGCAGAACAAGUCUGGAGUGAAAUCCCGGGGAUUAACACCGGAACUGCUUUUGAAACUGUGCGGCUGGAGUGCAGGAGGGGUAAGCGGAAUUCCUAGUGUAGCGGUGAAAUGCGUAGAUAUUAGGAGGAACACCGGUGGCGAAGGCGGCUUACUGGACUGUAACUGACGUUGAUGCUCGAAAGCGUGGGGAGCAAACAGGAUUUGAUACCCCUGUAGUC
rnacentral:rRNA from 1 species